rnacentral:rRNA from 1 species
UGUCCCGGGCUUGUACACACCGCCCGUCAAGCCACGAAAGUCGGCAGUACCCAAAGUCGCUAUCCCAACCGUAAGGAAGGAAGCGCCUAAGGUAAGGCCGGUGAUUGGGGCU